rnacentral:lncRNA from 1 species
AUGUACCUCUCACUGAGUUCCCCUAACAUUAGCAACUUCUAUUCCCGGGGUACAUUUGUCAAAACUAAGAAACAACAUUGUUCUAUUAUGAUUAUUACUGAACUCCAGAUUUCAUUUGGGUUUCACCAUUUUCCCACUCAUGCCCCUUUUCUGUCCCAGGAUCCAGUCCGAGGAGUUCCUCAUGGUUCCCAUGACUUUCAUAAUAUCCAUGUGUACCGGCAGGUAAUGUCAUUGCACGUACACAAUUUAAGACAGAGCAUCUGGUGCUUCUUGGACCUUCAAGCAAGUGUCACAUCUCAGGGUGUGAGGUUCGGAGGCCUCUCGUCAAAACUUUGGAGGGCUCUGUCAGUUUGA